rnacentral:rRNA from 1 species
AGCGAACGCUGGCGGCAGGCCUAACACAUGCAAGUCGAACGAAGUCUUCGGACUUAGUGGCGGACGGGUGAGUAACACGUGGGAACGUGCCUUUAGGUUCGGAAUAACCCAGGGAAACUUGUGCUAAUACCGAAUGUGCCCUUCGGGGGAAAGAUUUAUCGCCUUUAGAGCGGCCCGCGUCUGAUUAGCUAGUUGGUGAGGUAAAGGCUCACCAAGGCUACGAUCAGUAGCUGGUCUGAGAGGAUGACCAGCCACAUUGGGACUGAGACACGGCCCAAACUCCUACGGGAGGCAGCAGUGGGGAAUCUUGCGCAGUGGGCGAAAGCCUGACGCAGCCAUGCCGCGUGGAUGAUGAAGGUCUUAGGAUUGUAAAAUCCUUUCACCGGUGAAGAUAAUGACUGUAGCCGGAGAAGAAGCCCCGGCUAACUUCGUGCCAGCAGCCGCGGUAACAC